CACGUAGUUGGCCGUGACUUUCUAAGUAAUUACCGUCAAAUAAAGGCCAGUUACUACCUCUAUCUUUCUUCACUACCAACAGAGCUUUACGAGCCGAAACCCUUCUUCACUCACGCGGCGUUGCUCCAUCAGACUUGCGUCCAUUGUGGAAGAUUCCCUACUGCUGCCUCCCGUAGGAGUUUGGGCCGUGUCUCAGUCCCAAUGUGGCCGAUCAGUCUCUCAACUCGGCUAUGCAUCAUUGCCUUGGUAAGCCGUUACCUUACCAACUAGCUAAUGCACCGCAGGUCCAUCCAAGAGUGAUAGCAGAACCUAUUACUUUAAACUCUAGACAUGCGUCUAGUGUUAGUUACUCCGGUAUUAGCAUUCUGUUUCCAGGUUGUUACUCCAGUCUUCGUUGGGACUACGGUUACCCACGUUGUUACUCCACCCGUCCGCCGUCCUCGCUUU
rnacentral:rRNA from 1 species